GUGUCUUGAAAGCACAUAAAUCCAGAGAAUGACAGACUUUGAUGACAAAGGAAGGACCGCCCCGCCACCUUCCUGUUCAAGUGAGUGCAGCACAACAAGCACAGCAGCAUCCUUUAUGAGUUGGAGAAUGCUUAACCAGCCAUCCGAAGAGAGGAGCAGAGGCAGCCACUGCGUCAGCGUCAGGUUUCUAGUGCCUUCAACAACAUCCAGCCACAUCUUCGAGCCCGGAAUCUCCAGGUCAUGCAGUUACAUCCUCCCGACAUCGCCUGCGUCACGGACUAACUCACUGACGGGCCAUAGUGGGUCAGACUACAGAACCACUUGGGCUCAGACACCAUCAUCACUAACACAGGUUCCCCACAAGGGACGGUUUUGUCACCAUUCCUCUUCACCCUCUACACAGCAGACUGCCGGCAAGCCCAAGCCUCCUGACACCUACGAAAGUUUUCAGACGAUUUCAGCCAUUAUAUGCUGCAUCACGAAGAAUGACGAUCACCUAUACAGGGGGGGGGGGGAUGUCUUCAUUUGUGGCAUGGUGCAGUCAAAACAACCUGGAGCUGAAGGCAUCAAAAACAAAAGAGCUGGAGAUAGACUUGAGAAGGAAGAAGGAGAGCGCUUUUCCUCUGAUCGGGGUCACCGUGGAAAUGGUAGACUCAUAAAAAU
ensembl:lncRNA